ACGGGUGAGUAACGCGUGGGAAUCUACCCAUCUCUACGGAAUAACUCAGGGAAACUUGUGCUAAUACCGUAUACGCCCUUCGGGGGAAAGAUUUAUCGGAGAUGGAUGAGCCCGCGUUGAAUUAGCUAGUUGGUGGGGUAAUGGCCUACCAAGGCGACGAUCCAUAGCUGGUCUGAGAGGAUGAUCAGCCACACUGGGACUGAGACACGGCCCAGACUCCUACGGGAGGCAGCAGUGGGGAAUAUUGGACAAUGGGCGCAAGCCUGAUCCAGCCAUGCCGCGUGAGUGAUGAAGGCCCUAGGGUUGUAAAGCUCUUUCAACGGUGAAGAUAAUGACGGUAACCGUAGAAGAAGCCCCGGCUAACUUCGUGCCAGCAGCCGCGGUAAUACGGAGGGGGCUAGCGUUGUUCGGAUUUACUGGGCGUAAAGCGCACGUAGGCGGAUAUUUAAGUUAGGGGUGAAAUCCCAGAGCUCAACUCUGGAACUGCCUCUAAUACUGGGUAUCUAGAGUUCGAGAGAGGUGAGUGGAAUUCCGAGUGUAGAGGUGAAAUUCGUAGA
rnacentral:rRNA from 1 species